UACGGGGGGAGCAAGCGUUGUUCGGAUUUACUGGGCGUAAAGGGCGCGUAGGCGGCCACUGCAAGUCAGUUGUGAAAUCUCCGGGCUUAACCCGGAAAGGUCAACUGAUACUGCAGGGCUAGAGUGCAGAAGGGGCAACUGGAAUUCUCGGUGUAGCGGUGAAAUGCGUAGAUAUCGGGAGGAACACCAGUGGCGAAGGCGGCAUCCUGGCCUGUAACUGACGCUGAGACGCGAAAGCGUGGGGAGCGAACCGG
rnacentral:rRNA from 1 species